AGAGUUUGAUCCUGGCUCAAAAUCAACGCUGGCGGCGUGCCUAACACAUGCAAGUCGAGCGAGAAAAGGGGGGCAACUCCCUGAGUACAGCGGCGCACGGGUGAGUAACACGUGGGUAAUCUGCCCUGAAGUGGGGAAUAACACCGGGAAACCGGUGCUAAUACCGCAUAUGAUCACGAUGUCUGCGGACGUAGUGAUGAAAGGAGCAAUUCGCUUCAGGAGGAGCCCGCGGCUGAUUAGCUAGCUGGUGAGGUAAUGGCUCACCAAGGCAACGAUCAGUAUCCGGUCUGAGAGGACGGUCGGACACACUGGAACUGAGACACGGUCCAGACUCCUACGGGAGGCAGCAGUGGGGAAUUUUCCGCAAUGGGGGCAACCCUGACGAAGCAACGCCGCGUGGGUGAUGAAGUCUCUUGGGACGUAAAACCCUUUCGACAGGGAAGAAACCGCAAGGUUGACGGUACCUGUAGAAGAAGCCCCGGCUAACUCCGUGCCAGCAGCCGCGGUAAUACGGGGGGGGCAAGCGUUGUUCGGAAUUACUGGGCGUAAAGGGCGCGUAGGCGGUCUAUUAAGUUGGAUGUGAAACUCUGGGCUUAACUCAGAGCCUGCAUUCAAACUGAUAGGCUCGAGUUCUGGAGGGGAUAGCGG
rnacentral:rRNA from 1 species